AUUGAACGCUGGCGGCAGGCCUAACACAUGCAAGUCGAACGAGUGGCGGACGGGUGAGUAAUGUCUGGGAAACUGCCCGAUGGAGGGGGAUCACUACUGGAAACGGUAGCUAAUACCGCCUACUAUCGGAUGGGCCCAUAUGGGAUUAGCUAGUAGGUGGGGUAAAGGCUCACCUAGGCGACGAUCCCUAGCUGGUCUGAGAGGAUGACCAGCCACACUGGGACUGAGACACGGUCCAGACUCCUACGGGAGGCAGCAGUGGGGAAUAUUGCACAAUGGGCGCAAGCCUGAUGCAGCCAUGCCGCGUGUAUGAAGAAGGCCUUCGGGUUGUAAAGUACUUUCAGCGGGGAGGCGUUACCCGCAGAAGAAGCACCGGCUAACUCCGUGCCAGCAGCCGCGGUAAUUC
rnacentral:rRNA from 1 species